UACGGAGGGUGCGAGCGUUGUCCGGAAUCACUGGGCGUAAAGGGCGCGUAGGCGGCCUGAUAAGUAGGGGGUGAAAUCCUGCGGCUUAACCGCAGGGCUGCCUUCUAAACUGUCAGGCUGGAGCACAGUAGAGGCAGGUGGAAUUCCCGGUGUAGCGGUGAAAUUCGUAGAUAUCGGGAGGAACACCGGUGGCGAAGGCGGCGACCUGGGUCGAUACUGACGCUGAUGCGCGAAAGCGUGGGGAGCAAACAGG
rnacentral:rRNA from 1 species